rnacentral:rRNA from 1 species
GAUGAACGCUGGCGGCGUGCCUAAUACAUGCAAGUCGAGCGAACGGACGAGAAGCUUGCUUCUCUGAUGUUAGCGGCGGACGGGUGAGUAACACGUGGAUAACCUGCCUAUAAGACUGGGAUAAUUUCGGGAAACCGGAGCUAAUACCGGAUAAUAUUUUGAACCGCAUGGUUCAAAAGUGAAAGACGGUCUUGCUGUCACUUAUAGAUGGAUCCGCGCUGCAUUAGCUAGUUGGUAAGGUAACGGCUUACCAAGGCAACGAUGCAUAGCCGACCUGAGAGGGUGAUCGGCCACACUGGAACUGAGACACGGUCCAGACUCCUACGGGAGGCAGCAGUAGGGAAUCUUCCGCAAUGGGCGAAAGCCUGACGGAGCAACGCCGCGUGAGUGAUGAAGGUCUUCGGAUCGUAAAACUCUGUUAUUAGGGAAGAACAUAUGCGUAAGUAACUGUGCACAUCUUGACGGUACCUAAUCAGAAAGCCACGGCUAACUACGUG